UACGAAGGGGGCUAGCGUUGUUCGGAAUUACUGGGCGUAAAGCGCGCGCAGGCGGCUCUUCAAGUCAGGGGUGAAAGCCCAGAGCUCAACUCUGGAACUGCCUUUGAGACUGAAGAGCUUGAGUACGGCAGAGGGGGGUGGAAUUCCGCGUGUAGCAGUGAAAUGCGUAGAGAUGCGGAGGAACACCGAUGGCGAAGGCAGCCCCCUGGGCUGACACUGACGCUCAGGCACGAAAGCGUGGGGAGCAAACAGG
rnacentral:rRNA from 1 species